AGUCGAGCGGCAGCAUGGACUUCGGUCUGAUGGCGAGCGGCGAACGGGUGAGUAACAUAUAGGAACAUACCCAGUAAUGGGGGAUAACUCCGAGAAAUCGGAGCUAAUACCGCAUACGCCCUGAGGGGGAAAGCGGGGGAUCUUCGGACCUCGCGUUAUUGGAAUGGCCUAUAUCUGAUUAGCUUGUUGGUGAGGUAAAGGCUCACCAAGGCUUCGAUCAGUAGCUGGUCUGAGAGGAUGAUCAGCCACACUGGAACUGAGACACGGUCCAGACUCCUACGGGAGGCAGCAGUGGGGAAUUUUGGACAAUGGGCGAAAGCCUGAUCCAGCCAUUCCGCGUGAGUGAAGAAGGCCUUCGGGUUGUAAAGCUCUUUCGGCAGGAAAGAAAUUGCCGUUUCUAAUACAAACGGUAGAUGACGGUACCUGAAGAAGAAGCACCGGCUAACUACGUGCCAGCAGCCGCGGUAAUACGUAGGGUGCGAGCGUUAAUCGGAAUUACUGGGCGUAAAGCGUGCGCAGGCGGUUUUGCAAGUCAGAUGUGAAAGCCCCGGGCUCAACCUGGGAAUGGCGUUUGAAACUGCAAGGCUAGAGUGUGUCAGAGGGGGGUAGAAUUCCACGUGUAGCAGUGAAAUGCGUAGAGAUGUGGAGGAAUACCGAUGGCGAAGGCAGCCCCCUGGGAUAACACUGACGCUCAUGCACGAAAGCGUGGGGAGCAACAGGAUUAGAUACCCUGGUAGUCCACGCCCUAACGAUGUCAACUAGUUGUCGGGAGGGUAACCCUCUUGUAACGCAGCUAACGCGUGAAGUUGACCGCCUGGGGAGUACGGUCGCAGAUUAAACUCAAAGGAUUGACGGGGC
rnacentral:rRNA from 1 species